AGUGAACGCUGGCGGUAGGCCUAACACAUGCAAGUCGAACGGCAGCACAGUAAAAGCUUGCUCUUACGGGUGGCGAGUGGCGGACGGGUGAGGAAUACAUCGGAAUCUACUUUUUCGUGGGGGAUAACGUAGGGAAACUUACGCUAAUACCGCAUACGACCUACGGGUGAAAGCAGGGGAUCUUCGGACCUUGCGCGAUUGAAUGAGCCGAUGUCGGAUUAGCUAGUUGGCGGGGUAAAGGCCCACCAAGGCGACGAUCCGUAGCUGGUCUGAGAGGAUGAUCAGCCACACUGGAACUGAGACACGGUCCAGACUCCUACGGGAGGCAGCAGUGGGGAAUAUUGGACAAUGGGCGCAAGCCUGAUCCAGCCAUACCGCGUGGGUGAAGAAGGCCUUCGGGUUGUAAAGCCCUUUUGUUGGGAAAGAAAAGCAGCAGGUUAAUACCCCGCUGUUCUGACGGUACCCAAAGAAUAAGCACCGGCUAACUUCGCG
rnacentral:rRNA from 1 species